rnacentral:rRNA from 1 species
GACGAACGCUGGCGGCGUGCUUAACACAUGCAAGUCGAACGGAAAGGCCCUGCUUUUGUGGGGUGCUCGAGUGGCGAACGGGUGAGUAACACGUGAGUAACCUGCCCUUGACUUUGGGAUAACUUCAGGAAACUGGGGGUAAUACCGGAUAGGAGCUCCUGCUGCAUGGUGGGGGUUGGAAAGUUUCGGCGGUUGGGGAUGGACUCGCGGCUUAUCAGCUUGUUGGUGGGGUAGUGGCUUACCAAGGCUUUGACGGGUAGCCGGCCUGAGAGGGUGACCGGCCACAUUGGGACUGAGAUACGGCCCAGACUCCUACGGGAGGCAGCAGUGGGGAAUAUUGCACAAUGGGCGGAAGCCUGAUGCAGCAACGCCGCGUGCGGGAUGACGGCCUUCGGGUUGUAACCCGCUUUCGCCUGUGACGAAGCGUGAGUGACGGUAAUGGGUAAAGAAGCACCGGCUAACUACGUG